rnacentral:rRNA from 1 species
CCUACGGGAGGCAGCAGUGGGGGAUAUUGCACAAUGGGGGGAACCCUGAUGCAGCGACGCCGCGUGGGUGAAGAAGCGCCUCGGCGCGUAAAGCCCUGUCAGCCGGGAAGAAAAUGACGGUACCUGAAGAAGAAGCCCCGGCUAACUACGUGCCAGCAGCCGCGGUUAUACGUAGGGGGCAAGCGUUAUCCGGAUUUACUGGGGGUAAAGGGGGCGCAGACGGCGAUGCAAGCCAGGAGUGAAAGCCCGGGGCCCAACCCCGGGACUGCUCUUGGAACUGCGUGGCUGGAGUGCAGGAGGGGCAGGCGGAAUUCCUGGUGUAGCGGUGAAAUGCGUAGAUAUCAGGAGGAACACCGGUGGCGAAGGCGGCCUGCUGGACUGCAACUGACGUUGAGGCCCGAAAGCGUGGGGAGCAAACAGGAUUAGAUACCCGAGUAGUC